UGCCAGACUCCUACGGGAGGCAGCAGUGGGGGAUAUUGCACAAUGGGGGGAACCCUGAUGCAGCGACGCCGCGUGGGUGAAGAAGCGCCUCGGCGCGUAAAGCCCUAUCGGCAGGGAAGAAGCAAGACGGUACCUGACUAAGAAGCCCCGGCUAACUACGUGCCAGCAGCCGCGGUAAUACGUAGGGGGCGAGCGUUAUCCGGAUUCACUGGGUGUAAAGGGGGCGUAGACGGCCAUGCAAGCCAGGGGUGAAAGCCCGGGGCCCAACCCCGGGACUGCCCUUGGAACUGCAUGGCUGGAGUGCGGGAGGGGCAGGCGGAAUUCCUGGUGUAGCGGUGAAAUGCGUAGAUAUCAGGAGGAACACCGGCGGCGAAGGCGGCCUGCUGGACCGCGACUGGCGUUGAGGCUCGAAAGCGUGGGGAGCGAACAGGAUUAGAUACCCGUGUAA
rnacentral:rRNA from 1 species